GGAAAAAGGAAUUUACAGAGAGGAACUUGGAAAGCAAUUUUCAGACACAGAGACAAGUAGUAACUGAGAACGAAAUAUUUGAUUACAGACAGGCAGCUAAUAUACCAAAUACUCAGCCACCUAGAAUGAUAGAGUGUGUUUGUGGUGGAGUGUAGUGGUGAUGUAGAGUGUGCUAAUGGUUAUGCCAAUGAUGACUAAUGGUUGUGGAUUUCUAAGGGUGGCAACAAGAAUGGUGGAAGGACCUAAAUUGUGGCAAGUGGCAACAAUAACAAUGGCGGAUAUCAGGGGACGGUGGAGGGUGUUGGACAACGAAGGUGGACGGAGUCGCACGAUAGUGGGAGGUGACAUUGGUAGUUGGGUGAUGGAGGGGAAGGGAACUAGACAUCAGUCACAUCAAGAGUGUCAGACAAUACGACUCAAUUAUGGAUAAAAGAAAUUAUACAAGCAUUGAAACCAUUAAUCUCAUAUUUUUGGUGAUGUAGAUUUGAAUUAUUUAAGGCGCUCAUUGGUAUUUGGCAGUUAGCAAAAGUGAUGGCCUUAUCUAGCAUAUCGCUUGAGGGAGGUUUUGUUCUCGGUCAUUGCACCACAACCAACAUUGUUCUAGCUUAGGAGAUGAUGCAAUUCAUGAAAAGAACCAAGCUUCGCACGAGUGUUCCGACUAUCAAGAUUGAUAUGGAAAAAGUACAUGAUAAAUGUAAAUUAGAAUUAUCUUCAUUUAAUGGUUAAAGGGCUCGGUUUCCCUAGGCGAAUUCCUUCCUAAUCAUGUGGUGUGCGAAUCUACUAACUUGUCAAUCUUGUAGAAUGACUCCUGACUUGAUGGUUUCACUCCAACUAAGGGCCUUCGGCAAGGUGAGCCGAUGUCUCCAUACCUCUUCCUCUUAUGUACAUGUAUUCUCAUUCAACGAAAAGUUGACUAGAUAGCUUGGAUACUGAUUUAUGUAGCUGAGUAGCUCCAAAUUGUCUAUGAAUAUCACACCUUUUG